UCCUCACUGGCCUCCAAGUUUUCUAGGAUGAUGCAAUGUCCAGCCAUCAACACAUUUGUGAAGGAAUUUUUACUCCCCAAAAGAGCGCCCCCCCAUGGCAGGAGAAAAAAGUCCAUUUUUUCUUGUCCCUUAAGGUGAAAAUACACAUUGUUGAGUGUCACGCCUAUACGCUUUGUCAAAAUGACACAAAAAUUGACACACACAUGUAACUCAAUAAGAUCUACGAAAAAGUCAAUGCGCGCGUAUCUGUCAAAUGUACGGUUAAAGGGUUAUUCCGCAUUUUUUGCCGAUCCGCACACAUUGGAAUGUGGCUAACUCCUCCUAAGGCUUUCGUUCCACCGGCACCACAUUUGCUCAGGCCAAUCUACACCCCAUGGCCAUUAAAAGUUAUUCAAAUCAUGACGCUGCACCCCACGGUUUAGGUUCUAGGGGGCGCCAAAGAUAACCCUAAAAUCCACAUAUUUAAGUCUUAUAACUUUUUAUUUUUGUCCUCACUGGCCUCCAAGUUUUCUAGGAUGAUGCAAUGUCCAGCCAUCAACACAUUUGUGAAGGAAUUUUUACUCCCCAAAAGAGCGCCCCCCCAUGGCAGGAGAAAAAAGUCCAUUUUUUCUUGUCCCCUAAGGUGAAAAUACAUAUUGUUGAGAUUCACGCCUAUACGCUUUGUCAUAUUGACACAAAAUUUGACAAUCACGUGCCUUGCCUGGUAUCAUUUUUUUCAGCACAACCUCACCUGUGCGAAUUUACAGUUAUUUUAUCAUGUUGACAUACUGAAUUUACAC